rnacentral:rRNA from 1 species
CCUACGGGAGGCAGCAGUGAGGAAUAUUGGUCAAUGGACGAAAGACUGAACCAGCCAAGUAGCGUGAAGGAUGACUGCCCUAUGGGUUGUAAACUUCUUUUAUAUGGGAAUAAAAUACGGUAUGCAUACCCUCUUGUAUGUACCAUAUGAAUAAGGAUCGGCUAACUCCGUGCCAGCAGCCGCGGUAAUACGGAAGGUCCGGGCGUUAUCCGGAUUUAUUGGGUUUAAAGGGAGCGUAGGCGGAUUGUUAAGUGAGUUGUGAAAGUCUGUGGCUCAACCGUAAAACUGCAGUUGAAACUGGCAGGCUUGAGUGCGUGAGAGGUAGGCGGAAUGCGUGGUGUAGCGGUGAAAUGCUUAGAUAUCACGAAGAACUCCGAUUGCGAAGGCAGCACACGGGAGUGCAACUGACGCUGAUGCUCGAAAGUGUGGGUAUCGAACAGGAUUAGAUACCCGUGUAGUC